rnacentral:rRNA from 1 species
AUACAUGCAAGUCGAGCGGACAGAAGGGAGCUUGCUCCCGGAUGUUAGCGGCGGACGGGUGAGUAACACGUGGGUAACCUGCCUGUAAGACUGGGAUAACUCCGGGAAACCGGAGCUAAUACCGGAUAGUUCCUUGAACCGCAUGGUUCAAGGAUGAAAGACGGUUUCGGCUGUCACUUACAGAUGGACCCGCGGCGCAUUAGCUAGUUGGUGGGGUAAUGGCUCACCAAGGCGACGAUGCGUAGCCGACCUGAGAGGGUGAUCGGCCACACUGGGACUGAGACACGGCCCAGACUCCUACGGGAGGCAGCAGUAGGGAAUCUUCCGCAAUGGACGAAAGUCUGACGGAGCAACGCCGCGUGAGUGAUGAAGGUUUUCGGAUCGUAAAGCUCUGUUGUUAGGGAAGAACAAGUGCGAGAGUAACUGCUCGCACCUUGACGGUACCUAACCAGAAAGCCACGGCUAACUACGUGCCAGCAGCCGCGGUAAUACGUAGGUGGCAAGCGUUGUCCGGAAUUAUUGGGCGUAAAGGGCUCGCAGGCGGUUUCUUAAGUCUGAUGUGAAAGCCCCGGCUCAACCGGGGAGGGUCAUUGUAACUGGGAAACUUGAGUGCAGAGAGGAGAGUGAUCCACGUGUAGCGUGAAUGCGUAARAUGUGAGAMCAUGCGAAGGCA